rnacentral:rRNA from 1 species
UACGUAGGGGGCUAGCGUUGUCCGGAAUCAUUGGGCGUAAAGCGCGUGUAGGCGGUCCGGUAAGUCCGCUGUGAAAGUCGGGGGCUCAACCCUCGGAUGCCGGUGGAUACUGUCGGGCUUGAGCACGGAAGAGGCGAGUGGAAUUCCUGGUGUAGCGGUGAAAUGCGCAGAUAUCAGGAGGAACACCAAUGGCGAAGGCAGCUCGCUGGGACGUUACUGACGCUGAGGCGCGAAAGCGGGGGGAGCAAACAGG